GAAAUGCGAUAAGUAGUGUGAAUUGCAGAAUUCAGUGAAUCAUCGAAUCUUUGAACGCACAUUGCGCCCUUUGGUAUUCCAAAGGGCAUGCCUGUUCGAGCGUCAUUUGUACCCUCAAGCUUUGCUUGGUGUUGGGCGUCUUGUCUCUAGCUUUGCUGGAGACUCGCCUUAAAGUAAUUGGCAGCCGACCUACUGGUUUCGGAGCGCAGCACAAGUCGCACUCUCUAUCAGCAAAGGUCUAGCAUCCAUUAAGCCUUUUUUUCAACUUUUGACCUCGGAUCAGGUAGGGAUACCCGCUGAACUUAAGC
rnacentral:misc_RNA from 1 species